rnacentral:ncRNA from 1 species
GUAACUCUGGAGAAUCCCGCAGCAGCCGGGUGCCGAAGGGGCAAGCGCACAGCGCGAAUCUCUCAGGCAAAAGGACAGAGGGAG